CCCAUUCUGCUAAAAUCUGAUAGAUUAACAUCUGUCUUGCGCCAGGCAUUACAUCCAGGGAUCUGGCUCACCUGGAUCAGAUGUCUUCCCAUUGACCAGUGACUGUUUCCUUCAUCUUCCUUCCCAUUCUAGAGGCAAGCUGUGUUACAGAGAUGGCAUUGAUGAUGGCUUGUUGGAAGGUGAAUGAAUUCAGUGACAGUGCUUGUGCUAAGGAGAUUAAUACAUUCUUUCAAUGUGCAGCAAAAGCAGAAGUAA